rnacentral:lncRNA from 1 species
AUAACCGCAUCAGGCACAUUCCGGUAAUUGAUGAAAAGGGAAUGAGUGGGAUGGUGUCGAUUGGUGAUGUGGUUCGUGCUGUCGUGAGGGAGCACAGGGAGGAGCUGGACCGACUGAAUGCUUACAUACAAGGAGGUUACUAAGAUAACAAUCAAUGACGAUGACGACGACAAAGGAGAUCGAGGUCCUAGUAGUGUACCUGUGCGCCAGCCCUUGGAAGAUAUGAAUAAGCCCAAGAGCCUUGUAUAUGUAGUGUUUGUAUUUCCUGGUUCUAUGUGGUGUCAGCUAGCGGAUUGGUCUGCUAAUAACGAGUAGGAGAGAACUCUUUUAUCUGCCAUGGUAGUCUGUCUUUUCUUGUUUGCUUCUUGAUGUUCACUAGUCAUUCUGCAGUUUGUACUCGAAAAUGAUGGAUGCUUUUAGUGAGCUUUUGCAUUCCGCUUUUACUGUU